rnacentral:rRNA from 1 species
AGUCGAGCGCGAAAACACUUCGGUGUGAGUAAAGCGGCGGACGGGUGAGUAACGCGUAGGAAUCUACCUAGUAGUGGGGGACAACUCGGGGAAACUCGAGCUAAUACCGCAUACGCCCUACGGGGGAAAGCGGGGGACCUUCGGGCCUCGUGCUAUUAGAUGAGCCUGCGUUGGAUUAGCUAGUUGGUGGGGUAAAGGCCUACCAAGGCGACGAUCCAUAGCUGGUCUGAGAGGAUGAUCAGCCACACCGGGACUGAGACACGGCCCGGACUCCUACGGGAGGCAGCAGUGGGGAAUAUUGCGCAAUGGGCGAAAGCCUGACGCAGCCAUGCCGCGUGUGUGAAGAAGGCCUUCGGGUUGUAAAGCACUUUCAAUUGGGAGGAAAGGCUCACGACUAAUACUCGUGAGCUGUGACGUUACCUUUAGAAGAAGCACCGGCUAACUCCGUGCCAGCAGCCGCGGUAAUACGGAGGGUGCGAGCGUUAAUCGGAAUUACUGGGCGUAAAGCGCGCGUAGGUGGUCUGUUAAGUCGGAUGUGAAAGCCCCGGGCUCAACCUGGGAACUGCACCCGAUACUGGCAGACUAGAGUGCGGGAGAGGGAGGUAGAAUUCCACGUGUAGCGGUGAAAUGCGUAGAUAUGUGGAGGAAUACCAGUGGCGAAGGCGGCCUCCUGGCUCGACACUGACACUGAGGUGCGAAAACGUGGGGAGCAAACAGGAUUAGAUACCCUGGUAGUCCACGCCGUANACGAUGUCUACUAGCUGUUCGUGGUCUUGUACCGUGAGUAGCGCAGCUAACGCACUAAGUAGACCGCCUGGGGAGUACGGUCGCAAGAUUAAAACUCAAAUGAAUUGACGGGGGCCCGCACAAGCG